UCGGCUCGAAUAAAUCCAUAAUAAUUUAAUGACUCUGAUCAUCGACGCAAUGAUUAAUUAAUCCCUAUCAACCAGUUAUAGGAUACCGUGAAACGCAACGGACGUACCCCAAUUCCUACUUACUGUAUCGAUAAACAGCUGGAGACGCCAGACCUGCUUAUUUCCCUUAUUAAAAUAUAACCUAGCUGGAGACGCCAGACCUAGAUUUAAUAUUCUAAUAGCAUUAAGAUAAAGGAACCCAAUUUAGAUAAAUUAUCCUAGAUACGCUAGUAAUAAUUCAUCCACCAAUUUAUUCCUACUACGAACAUGGUAGCUUUAUCACUAAUCAGCCAUAUUCCAACAAUUACGGAUUGGAGGUGCUAAUUGACUGUAAUCCAAUUAAACCUAAGUUGAUCAGGCUUAAAUUAAAUCAGAACUAUCUUUAAACACAAGGAACAAAUCAAAAUCAAUAGGAAUCAAUUAUAUGAAUAAUUAGGUCUCACAGGUUAUUAAAUCAAUACUUCAUUAUUCUCGCCGAAUUAAAGAUUUAGCUACUCGUAAUUAAAACUAGAACAAUCAAAUAAAUAAAAUCAAACAUAAAACAAGAAUAAUAAAUUGCAAUUGAAUAACAAACCAAACACCACACUUGGAAUUGGUGGAACACGUCUCUGCCAAAAAUUCUCCUUAAUAAAAGUCAAAGCUAAAACUAAAACCUAAGCAAAAGUUAAAAACAUAAUUAACUCUUAG
rnacentral:lncRNA from 1 species